rnacentral:lncRNA from 1 species
GGGCAAGUAUGGACACAACAUUCAAGCUUGAUACAGCUCUGAAUUUGGAUUGUGAUUAAAUAGUUGACACAACACAGGUUUCUGACACACAAUGAAUGUGGUCUAAGAACUUAAACUUAAAAACUUUAAAUUUUAAAUUGGACAUUACCUAUUAUGGUCCAAUAUCCAAAAUCUAAAUACAUGGUUAGAUUCAGCAUAUCAAAGAACCCCA